UACGUAGGUGGCAAGCGAUACUUCGGAAUCACUAGGCGUAAAGGCGCAGGUAGGAGGUUUAGUAAGUCUGUUGUGAAAGCCUCCCGGCUUAACUGGGAGAGGUCAACGGAAACUGCUGAGGCUAGGAGUGCGGUAGAGGUAGGCUGGAAUUCCGGUGUAGCGGUGAAAUGCGGUAGAUAUCGGGAGGAAUACCUAUGGGCGAAGGCAGUGUCUGGGACCGAGUGACUGACGCUGGAGGAAGCGAAAGCCGUGGGGGAGCAAACACGG
rnacentral:rRNA from 1 species